AUUGAACGCUGGCGGCAUGCCUUACACAUGCAAGUCGAACGGCAGCACGGGGGCAACCCUGGUGGCGAGUGGCGAACGGGUGAGUAAAGCAUCGGAACGUACCCGGAAGUGGGGGAUAACGUAGCGAAAGUUACGCUAAUACCGCAUAUUCUGUGAGCAGGAAAGCAGGGGAUCGCAAGACCUUGCGCUUUCGGAGCGGCCGAUGUCGGAUUAGCUAGUUGGUGGGGUAAAGGCCUACCAAGGCGACGAUCCGUAGCGGGUCUGAGAGGAUGAUCCGCCACACUGGGACUGAGACACGGCCCAGACUCCUACGGGAGUCAGCAGUGGGGAAUUUUGGACAAUGGGGGCAACCCUGAUCCAGCCAUGCCGCGUGAGUGAAGAAGGCCUUCGGGUUGUAAAGCUCUUUCGGCCGGGAAGAAAUCGCACGGGAUAAUACCCCGUGUGGAUGACGGUACCGGAAUAAGAAGCACCGGCUAACUACGUGCCAGCAGCCGCCGUAAGAC
rnacentral:rRNA from 1 species